UUUACUCCCCUUAACUAUACAACAGAUGCACGUGAAGUCAUAGACUGGCUUUUAUUUUGUAUUAGUAAACUCCAAGGAACAAGCGGAACGCAAACAUCGUCAUGUUGAUAUUUUAGGGAAGGAGAAGGUGGUGACGACGAGGAGCUGCCGGAGGAAGAGUCUGCAGCUUUUAGAAAUGUGAAUUUUCAGGAAAUUCUGAUCUGUCUGAGUCAGAGCAUCUGCUGUAUUUAUCACUCUUCAGGGGAACAAGCCCCUAAAACUCAGUGCUACGGUUCAGGCUCAGUAAAACACAUGCAUGCAUCAUAUCUGUUGACAUGGUUCAAACAAGAGAUUUUCACAUUUCUAGACUACCAACUUAAGAUACAUCCAACUAAGCUAAAGAAUUAUUGGUAUAUUUCCAGAAUUCCACAUUUCCAGACUACUGAGAUAAAUGUGAUGAAUUUGAUGUGCAGCACAUUCCAUUGUGAUGACAUGUUCUGUGCUCUUCUACCCCAAGUUAAAGCCCAAUUUGUUUAUAUUGAGACAAAGAACUCCUAACAAUAAUUGCAGAUGUGCACAUCUUAACCCUUUACUUCCUGGAAGUGAUUAACAUGUAGCUUCUCCUUGUUGUAUCCAUAAGGUAAUGAGAAUACCUUCAAGUUUUUAUCUUGAUCUAACCUCAAAUUCUUGUAAUUAAUUUACAAUGAAAUGUAUAGCAGCUGAAGGGGAGAAGUAGCAAUCAGUCCUUGGAAGUUAAUGGGUUAUAAGCUUCAGAGAACAGAAAGCAUUAUGGUUAUAAAUGUUUUGAAUACUAAAGAUUAAAAUUGUCAGUAGCUGACAGAUUCACGUGUUCAUGUAAAUAGGGUAUUGAAUAUUUGUUAACUUGUGAAAGAAACUUGAUUAAAAAUAGGGUCAAGCAA